UUGAAAGUAUAUUGCAUAUUGAAAAGUAAGGAAAUUAUUCACAACUGGAAAGUAUUACAGACGGUAGGUUAUAGAGGAUCAACCAUACAUUUUAUGACGAUUUGAUUGUUAUAGAUUUUCAUUUUGUUUCUCUAUCAUUAUUAGAUAUGUUAUUAGGGAUAUGAACCAUUUGGUCAAAACCCAAAUUAUUGAUCUGAAAUUAAUACUUCAGCUUAGUCAGUUCCAUUAUUUAAAAGUAGCUUGGUCUGGUUUUUAAAUUAUUGCAAUUUGAUUUUCAGGCUUCUACUUUAUUUAUCUAAGAAAACCUAAACAUAUGAAACAAUCUAAUUACAUUUUAUGAUUAAUUUUUGAUUUUGUCAAUUAAGCCAAGCCUAGUUGGUCCCUUAUAACCUUUUACGGGUUUGAGUACUGGGGCAUCACAGGUACGGGUCUCUCAUCCACUACUACAGUGGGACUAAUGUAAUGAAAAGGGAAGGGUGUUAUGACUAAGGGAUGGGAUGA
rnacentral:misc_RNA from 1 species